GCGAGAGUGGCGGAACCGGCAGACGCGCCAGACUUAGGAUCUGGUGCCUUCGGGCGUGGGGGUUCGAGUCCCCCCUCUCGCACCA
rnacentral:tRNA from 1 species